GCCGCCUAACAUUUUAUUUAUAUUUCCACACAGCCCAUGUAGUGCAAAAUCAAAACUGACAAAGGGGCUCUGACUAGACCCACUUGGUGUCAUUCUCAAAUGAAAAAUGACGAUGCGCGAAAAGUAAGGGGGUAGACGGAGAGGAGCAGAUGUUUGUCAGGUGUGCCAAAAUUUAUGACCAUCUCUCAUGCGCGCUUCAUGUUCGCGUACUAUAAAUU
ensembl:ncRNA F38B6.23 ncRNA